GCUGUUUUUAAAGAACAAAGAAGAAUAUCAUUUAACGUUAUGGACUUUUAAUGCAGGGGAGCGAUUGGGCAACCGAGGCUAUUGGUUCCUGUUGUACUAGUCAUGAUCUUUAACAGGUGGAAUGGGCUCGUCGUUCCACAAUAUGGAUUUAUGCAACUGGAAUUGAUACCAAUGUUAGUGGGAUUCUUCACAUACAAGAUUGCUACUUUUAUCCAAGCUAUAGAGGAAGCACUUCCUGUAGCUGAGAAAACAGACACAAGUUCAAGCUAAACCUUCCCAUCUUCAUAGAUCAGCAGAAUAUCCCAUUGAUAGUUCCGAUGCAGCUUUCAGAGAUAAGCUGCUCGGAAGUGAAGACGUGUAGUGAAUUGAACAGAACUGUAUACUAGUUAUUGAUGUUAGUUGUCCUUUGUUCUGUAUGAAUGUUGUAAAACAAGGGAAUUGAAUAUAUUUGUCUAUAAUUUGCCUCAUACCAUUUGUAAUAUUUUCAGAUAACUACAUUUUUUUUUUUUUAAAUUUAUUGGAGGGGCAAGCAUUGACCUCUUGUCAGCAAGCAA